GGGGGGGAAGGAGGGCGGCUGGAGAGCGCGCAGCGCCUUCAAACUGCUGCAGCUGGAGGAGCGCUUCCAGCUGUUCCGGGGAGUCACCCGGGCCGUGGAUCUCUGUGCUGCCCCCGGGAGCUGGAGCCAAGUGCUGAGUCGGCACCUCAGGGGGUCCGAGGGCUCCCCCCCCCAGGUGGUGGCCGUGGAUCUGCAGGCGAUGGCGCCGCUGCCGGGGGUGCUGCAGAUCCAGGGGGACAUCACCAAGGUGGGACCCCAAAACUGCCCUGGGCACCCCAAAAAACUGCCCCCCAAAAACCCCCUCGAGCCCCCCAAAACUGCCCUGAGCCCUGCAGAUUCAGGGGGACAUCACCAAGGUGGGACCCCAAAAACUGCCCUGAGCCUCCAAAAACUGCCCUGGGGACCCCAAAGCU